CUCGUGACUUCAAAGCCAAAGCUGUGAAACCAGAAAAAGAAGAAACCCAAAAGCAUAAUUAGAUAGAUAGACAGAGAAAGAGCAUAGAGAGAGGAAUCAGACAGAAGUUAAAAGGUGCUUGGCUGGGCUGUCUUCACUGAAAGACACGAGAAGAAAAUAUUACUACUUGUUUCUGUCACCAACGACAAUCACGGGUUUGUCUCCAUCUCCACUACUCUUACGAUUUCAUAUUAUCUAUAAUUAUCUACACAUGCGCCUCUCUCUAUAUAC